rnacentral:rRNA from 1 species
GUGCUUAACACAUGCAAGUCGAGCGGUAAGGCCCUUCGGGGUACACGAGCGGCGAACGGGUGAGUAACACGUGGGUGAUCUGCCUCGUACUCUGGGAUAAGCCUGGGAAACUGGGUCUAAUACCGGAUAUGACCACGAAUCGCAUGGUUUGUGGUGGAAAGAUUUAUCGGUGCGAGAUGGGCCCGCGGCCUAUCAGCUUGUUGGUGGGGUAAUGGCCUACCAAGGCGACGACGGGUAGCCGGCCUGAGAGGGCGACCGGCCACACUGGGACUGAGACACGGCCCAGACUCCUACGGGAGGCAGCAGUGGGGAAUAUUGCACAAUGGGCGGAAGCCUGAUGCAGCGACGCCGCGUGAGGGAUGACGGCCUUCGGGUUGUAAACCUCUUUCGACAGGGACGAAGCGCAAGUGACGGUACCUGUAGAAGAAGCACCGGCCAACUACGUGCCAGCAGCCGCGGUAAUACGUAGGGUGCGAGCGUUGUCCGGAAUUACUGGGCGUAAAGAGCUUGUAGGCGGUUCGUCGCGUCGAUCGUGAAAACUUGCAGCUCAACUGCGAGCUUGCGGUCGAUACGGGCGGACUAGAGUACUGCAGGGGAGACUGGAAUUCCUGGUGUAGCGGUGAAAUGCGCAGAUAUCAGGAGGAACACCGGUGGCGAAGGCGGGUCUCUGGGCAGUAACUGACGCUGAGAAGCGAAAGCGUGGGUAGCGAACAGGAUUAGAUACCC